UUCAGGCAAAUCCGUGUGGCAAUACGAAGACGUGACGCGGACCGAAAUAAAGUAGGGAAGCAUGUGAGCCAUGUGCCAAGAAAAGCCGCUAUAGAUCAUACCGUACCCGUACCGUAAACCGACACAGGUAGAUGAGGAGAGAAUCCUAAGGCCGACGGGAGAAGCAUUGUUAAGGAACUCGGCAAAAUGACCCCGUAACUUCGGGAGAAGGGGUGCCCACGCGAGUGGGCCGCAGAGAAUAGGCUCAAGCAACUGUUUAGCAAAAACACAGGUCUAUGCGAAACCGAAAGGUGAGGUAUAUGGGCUGACGCCUGCCCGGUGCUGGAAGGUUAAGAGGAGGAGUCAGGCAACGAAGCUCCGAAUUUAAGCCCCAGUAAACGGCGGCCGUAACAAUAACGGUCCUAAGGUAGCGAAAUUCCUUGUCGGGUAAGUUCCGACCCGCACGAAAGGCGUAAUGAUUUGAGCACUGUCUCGACAAUGCACCCGGUGAAAUUGAAGUACCAGUGAAGAUGCUGGUUACCUGCGCCAGGACGGAAAGACCCCAUGGAGCUUUACUCCAGUUUGAUACUGGGAUUCGAUACUGAAUGUACAGGAUAGGUGGGAGGCUGAGAAGCGUGGACGCCAGUCUGCGGUGAGCCGCUGUUGGGAUACCACCCUUUGAGUAUUGGAUUUCUAACCUGCGCCCGUGACCCGGGCGGGGGACAAUGUCUGACGGGGAGUUUGACUGGGGCGGUCGCCUCCGAAAGGGUAUCGGAGGCGCUCAAAGGUUCCCUCAGAAUGGUUGGAAACCAUUCGCAGAGUGCAAAGGCAGAAGGGAGCUUGACUGUGACACCGACGGGUGGAGCAGGUACGAAAGUAGGACUUAGUGAUCCGGUGGUAUGAAAGUGGGAUUGCCAUCGCUCAACGGAUAAAAGCUACCCUGGGAUAACAGGCUUAUCACUCCCAAGAGUUCACAUCGACGGAGUGGUUUGGCACCUCGAUGCCGGCUCAUCGCAUCCUGGGGCUGUAGCAGGUCCCAAGGGUUGGGCUGUUCGCCCAUUAAAGCGGUACGCGGGCUGGGUUCAGAACGUCGUGAGACAGUUCGGUCCCUAUCCGGCGCAGGCGUAGGAUAUUUGAGAGGAGCUGUCCUUAGUACGAGAGGACCGGGAUGGACAGACCGCUGGUGUAUCUGUUGGUGACCAACACCAUGGCAGAGUAGCCAAGUCUGGCAGGGAUAAACGCUGAAGGCAUCUAAGCGUGAAGCCCCCCUCAAGAUGAGAUAUCCCAAUAAGUAAGACCCCUUAGAGAGUAUGAGGUAGAUAGGCUUAAGGUGUAAGCAUAGUAAUAUGUUCAGCUGAUAAGUACUAAUAGGUCGAGGGCUUAUC
rnacentral:rRNA from 1 species